GCAAUGUUUCAAUUUGUCACUUUUUGCUUAAAGGUCCAACCUGUCCAACCUUCCAGAAGUUUGAGUGGGCGAAGACUGUGGCGCCGGAGUUAAAGCACAUCAAAGUUGUUUUACCAUGGCACAUGAUCGGGAUGGACCUCAUCGGCUCCUUCACGAAAUCCAGGAAAGGCAACAGCUGGUGUCUGAAGGGGACCGAUCACUUUACCAAGUGGGUGGAGGCAAUACCCAUUAAGUUCAGUAAAGGAAGAGAACGUGCUUAACUCUAAAUACCCAUCUGCAACCCAUUAAAAAGGGUGCUUGGAACCAAAAUUAGAUUUUUGUUUUUUUAUGAUACAAAACUAGUGAGACCAUCUCCAAGGAUAUAGUGGGCAUCUUCAACACCCACUUUUCUCCUGAGGUCAUCUUGAGUGACCGAGGUCAGGUACAGAUGUUAUAGGUUAUAUUCUGUCACCAAUGGUUUGUUUUGUUUAUUUUGUUACAAUCUGUUUUUGUUUUUCCAUGGUAGAUAAUCAGACAUAUUUCAAUAUCUUACAUUGUCAAUAGAUAUCACUUUCCUACCCCCCUCCUCCAGGUUUGGUGAAUGGACCAACCAGGCACUUGUGAUUGACUUAGUGUUGUUUGCCUAUUGCUAUUUUUGCUUAACGAUCUUUCAGAUCACUGAAACGCCACCUGAUGUGGUGGAAGUUGUCGAAACCAGAUCAGGACGCCUUCGAGAAUUACCUUCAGGCACGGACUGAGAAGGAUGUGGAGGUCUUUGACCAUGUAAAAAUUAUUGUCCGUUGUUUGUUUUCUGGACCUCCAAGAGCUAUAUAAGAAAUGUAUUUGUAAUGUGAAACAUAAUUGCAUGUGUUCCUGUCAUCCAACAAGGUGAGACUGAACAUGGACAAGGCGCAGGAGAAACAGAAGGAGCGCUACCGGAGCAGAGUCAAGAAGGGGACCAAGUGCUACGACAUCCAGGGCAAAUUACUUGGUUUGGAAGAAGAACGAAAGGAAGGCAGAGACCUUGGAAAUCUCGCUGCUCCUAGCUGUGGUCACGAUCUGUUAAAGGUUACCUCGGAAGCCAACUAUCUUCUGCGGUUGGACGGUCUACCACUGGAAGCAUUGACGCCCUACACUUCAGUGAAGCCCAAUUUACAAAGACCAUCGACUGUCCGAGCCCCCCAGGAGGUAUCCCGUCUACCAGAACCAGUGAGUUCGGAUUAGUCUGAUUCUCUGUGCUCUGAAUCGGAGGAGGACUAGCUUGAGGUAGGCUACAUGUUUGAAAAGUACAUAUCUCUGUGUUAAUCCGUCAAAUUUUCUCACAGUAAAGUGUAACCUGUGUGUUUGCUUGUUUACGUCGGUCUCCUACCAUGUCCCCUUCAACUCUGCUCCUGUUCUCCAAGAGCUAGGGGUUUUGGCCAACACCCAGAUCCACCUGAUGUCCUCCAUUGCCAACCAUUCUUUUCAUUACCUCAUCUACAGCUACUGUUGUCAUUACGCCAUCUACAGCUACGGUUAUCAUUAUCUGCUAAGAAAGCUGUCUUGCGCUAUCCUACUGGGCACAUAAUAUGUGAGAGACACAGAUUGACUAAAAACAUUAGCACUGCAAAACCUCUGAACAAAGCGAACAGCAGUGCCUGGACUUUGCAGUCUCCUUCUUCAAGUCCCCCCUUCGGAGACUGGGUGCCUGUUGAGAACAAGUGACAGGCAGAAUCUCCCACCCACACAGCAACCACCUCCUAUAUUCCACACACCAGAAUGUAUUUAGCCAUUGCCAUGUGAAAAUAAAUGCAUGACACAACUGUACCAAAAAAUAUCAACGUUUCUGUGUUACAAUCUUAAGUAUUGACGGGUUGCUUUUCACAACAUGUUCAUUGCUGUAAGGUAUCCUCUGAUGGUAUUUAUUUGUUCCUCAUUAUUCAUUGAAUGUAGUAAAUCCUGCCGUAGGGAUAGCGUGCAACUCACAGGUGAGGGCAACGACCUCUUCCUUGAGUCUGAGAGCUGAUCCCUCUUUUGUUCUAGCAAGACCUGUGCUCUUGGGGUAAUUCUCAAAAUGCAUUUUAAAUGUUUUUUUAAAGGAAGUGUCAGGGAACAUUAUUUUUUACACGUAUCUAACCUUUGUGUAGUGACAGUCUCCAUAUAUACUGUACUUCCAUAAAUGUUUUAUACUGGUAUCAGGGGACUUUAUGUAUUAACCUAUCAAAUAUUGUAGUUGGGCAACAUAUGAGAUGUGAAUAUAAAACAUUUCAUUCUGAAGUCGGAGUGUACUUUCUCUUGAUUCAGCUCAAAUAACGGCCGCCAUUGAUUUAAAGAAAUGUUAUGACAUUUUUUUACGUGGUUGCGUCAUAUUUCUUUGUAUACUUUCCAUUGAAGCUUGCAUCAAUGCAUGCUUCAAAAUAUGUACAAACGGAGUUUGCAUUUUGAGAAGUGCCCUCCAUGCUCCAUUUUGCAUGCUUUCAUUUGGAAUCGUACUCCGAUCCUCCCGUGCUCCAAUUUUAGUUGUAUGCAUUUUGAGAAUUACCCAUCGACUUUGACAGACCAUUUAAAUUUCUUGAAUCCUUCCUUCCAAAAUGAUUUUGUUCAUUUACUCAAUAGUGAUUUCACGUUUAUUUAUAUUGCUUGGUUAAAAUACAAUACUCUAAAACAGUCGAUUUGUUGACUCAUUUAAUCACAUUAAAACACAUUUCCUUUUCUUUUGACUGUGUGCUACUACAGGCGGCAACCUGAUCUCAUAGCAUUUCGUAUUAUUCUGUAUGGAUAUUUUUAUGUGUAAAUAUUAAUUUGUGGAUGUCCAUCCAUUUCAGGUAAUAUGUUAUGAGUUACAAUUCAUAUGGUAUGUUACGAAUUGCAGUUCUAUGAUAUGUUAUGAAUUUCAAUUGUAAACUAUGUUAUGAACGCAAUACGUAGGAUAUGUUGCCAAUUCCAAUUUGUUGUAACUAAUGCUAAUGUUAGCUAGGCUAGGGGUUACGGUUAGGAGUGAGGUGAAAGGGUUAAGGUUAGGAGUUAUGUUCAAGGUUAGCGUUAGGGGAAGGGUUAGCUAACAUGCUAAGUAGUUGCAAAGUAGCUAAAAAGUAGUAAGUAGAUGCAAAGCUGGUAAUUGGACAAAAUGCUAGUUGUCCAUGAGAUUUGAACACUCAAUUUUUGGGUUGCUAGACAUUUGCUUAUACGACUAACCAACCUCAUUUUUGCAUGAAAGGAGAAUUUUCCUGAAUUUCUGAAGUCAAUCAGCAGAGGGAGGGCGGGUGUUCCCCCCAGCAGAGGGAACACCCCCCUAUCCACAUCGAUGGAACAGUAGUGGAGAGGGUAGUAAGUUUUAAGUUCCUCGGCGUACACAUCACAGACAAACUGUAUUG